rnacentral:lncRNA from 1 species
AUGCCAGCUGAGAGCCCACCCAGAGCUCCUCUGCGUCUUGCACCCUGCCCUCCCCGUGCCGCCGUCCCCACUGCUGGCCGGGGACUUUCCUCCUGCUGCGCUGCUCUGGCAGCAUCUCGGCUGCUGCCUGGUGACUGCUCCGGGCAACACGACCCUUCGGGCGCUCCAGGAGAAUCACCCCGGCAUCCUUCGUACUUUGUAUCAUCACCAAAAAGGCCCCUGAAUCGAAUACGUUCAAGCUUUCAGCCAUUCCAGAGUCUCAAGCUCAAGGAAGGAGAAGGGCAGCGUGGAAGGAUGCAGGUUUGUAAGAGCAGAAGGUUUGCUUGGCUCCCCCAGAGUGUAUCUCUGAAUUUCACGUGAAAAAGCAGACUUGGCACGAGGCCUGCCAGAGGGCAGGCACUUCAGUUACUUGAUUUUUCUGCAGUGAUUGUUACUCAGUUCAAAUAAUCAGCUAAGCACGGCCACAAUUAUGUGACACAUAUGACAAUAUCGUAUCUAAAUUUACAAAAGUAUAAAAAAAACCCUGACAUCUGAACCCCCCAAAAAACAAAUUAGCUCAGAGUUAAGGUUUCUUCUAUUUUCAAAUAUAACCCGUGGUAUAAUUUAGGUUGCUAAGAACGAUGGGUCGGGAAGGAGUUCCUCCGCCCUGUGCUGUUUUGCAGCUGCCUAGCGCUACUUGCCAAAGUUCAGGCACGAGGGUAAUGCACGUGGUUGACCCUGUCCUCUGACGUGCCAUCACCUUCUGUCCUGAGUGCCAGAGCCCAGGCCACGCAGGAGGUGGCACGUCCCCGUGCCAGGCACUUCCCUGGCCGGGGGUUCCUGCUGCUUUUGCCCUCAGUUGGGCUCCUUGGGCACGGCACCACAGUGGCCGGGAGCCCCGCGUGUUUCCCGGGACUGGUGGCACGUCCCCGGCACAGCUGCUGCUGCUCCUGCAGCUGUCUGCGUGUCACGGACAUGUAUGAGGACGUUAUCAGCAAGGUUGAAUAAGUGGCUGUCUUUUGUUCUUGCUUGGUGAAUGUGAUAAACCUCAGGAAUAACAGUUCAUUUCCCUCUCCUGCUUGGCUGCUUACUUGGCCUGUGGGUUUCAGACUCGGGUUUCAUUCAUGGCGAGAUCGCUCCGUUUGUGUUCCUGGGUUCUGGCUGCAGCACGGAGGAUGAGCCGACACAAUGCGUCUUCUGUGCUCAGCGCUUUGGUCAUUUCCAAGUGCUGCACCCCAGAUGAAUUAAAAAAAAAAAAAAAAGAGCUUCUAUUUAUCAGAGCAAGAUAAAGCAUUAGAGGAAUGUGAUGUGACAUGAAAUAUAUCACUUUUUGUUGUUGAACGAAGUUGGUUCCUUCAUUCUCUGUAUCUCAGACUAAUUU